rnacentral:misc_RNA from 1 species
CGCAGACUUGCUCAAAAUCGUGAAGCUGCCAGAAAAAGCAGGCUAAGGAAAAAAGCAUAUGUACAACAAUUGGAGAGCAGUCGGCUGAAGCUAACUCAACUUGAGCAAGAGCUCCAAAGAGCCCGCCAACAGGGCAUUUUUAUUUCAAGCUCUGGAGAUCAAUCUCAUUCAAUGAGUGGAAAUGGUGCCUUGGCAUUUGAUGUAGAAUAUGCACGGUGGCUAGAAGAACACAACAGGCAGAUAAAUGAGCUGAGAGCUGCACUUAAUUCACAUGCAGGAGACACUGAACUUCG